UUGGGUCCCAUAUUUGAGGAAGGAUGUGCUGGCUCUGGAGAGGAUCCAGAGGAGGUUUAUAAGAAUGAUCCCAGCAAUGAGUAGGUUAACUUACGAUGAACGUUUGACGGCGCUGGG